rnacentral:ncRNA from 19 species
GGGGAAGCCGGUGUAAAUCCGGCGCUGACCCGCAACCGUGUGCAGCCUGGGUAUUGGUCGGGGCUGUGAGCCGGAUUGCCC